AUCGCUUCUCGGCUCAAUGAGCUAAGCUCAACGUGCAAUAUGUGUUCUUAUCAACUCAAUAUCUGGUACGCCUCGCAUUGCGAGACCAAUAUAAUAAACUAUUAUUUGGAACACGGUAGAUUGUAAGGAGCUUGCUCCUCUUCUACCGCGGGUUGACUCAGUGUUGCGGUACAGCUGGGGAAUAGAAUUCUUCAU